rnacentral:miRNA from 1 species
AAGUAACAUCUAAAAAAUUUACAACGUUCAUAUUUACUUCGGCGGUGAUUUUCAGGUCAAAUUGCUCGAAAAUUUUGUGUAGCUCUUUUCUAAUUUCUAUAGGCUACACAAAAUUUUCGAGCAAUUUGACCUGAAAAUCACCGCCGAAGUAAAUAUGAACGUUGUAAAUUUUUUAGAUGUUACUU